UAAAUAGUAGUUAAAUUAAUAAUAAAAGUUUGUCAAACUUUAGAUGCACUAAUGCCUAUUUAU
rnacentral:tRNA from 1 species